rnacentral:rRNA from 1 species
GGUGUGCCUAAUACAUGCAAGUCGAACGCGUUGGCCCAAUUGAUUGACGGUGCUUGCACCUGAUUGAUUUUGGUCGCCAACGAGUGGCGGACGGGUGAGUAACACGUAGGUAACCUGCCCAGAAGCGGGGGACAACAUUUGGAAACAGAUGCUAAUACCGCAUAACAGCGUUGUUCGCAUGAACAACGCUUAAAAGAUGGCUUCUCGCUAUCACUUCUGGAUGGACCUGCGGUGCAUUAGCUUGUUGGUGGGGUAACGGCCUACCAAGGCGAUGAUGCAUAGCCGAGUUGAGAGACUGAUCGGCCACAAUGGGACUGAGACACGGCCCAUACUCCUACGGGAGGCAGCAGUAGGGAAUCUUCCACAAUGGGCGCAAGCCUGAUGGAGCAACACCGCGUGAGUGAAGAAGGGUUUCGGCUCGUAAAGCUCUGUUGUUAAAGAAGAACACGUAUGAGAGUAACUGUUCAUACGUUGACGGUAUUUAACCAGAAAGUCACGGCUAACUACGUGCCAGCAGCCGCGGUAAUACGUAGGUGGCAAGCGUUAUCCGGAUUUAUUGGGCGUAAAGAGAGUGCAGGCGGUUUUCUAAGUCUGAUGUGAAAGCCUUCGGCUUAACCGGAGAAGUGCAUCGGAAACUGGAUAACUUGAGUGCAGAAGAGGGUAGUGGAACUCCAUGUGUAGCGGUGGAAUGCGUAGAUAUAUGGAAGAACACCAGUGGCGAAGGCGGCUACCUGGUCUGCAACUGACGCUGAGACUCGAAAGCAUGGGUAGCGAACAGGAUUAGAUACCCUGGUAGUCCAUGCCGUAAACGAUGAGUGCUAGGUGUUGGAGGGUUUCCGCCCUUCAGUGCCGGAGCUAACGCAUUAAGCACUCCGCCUGGGGAGUACGACCGCAAGGUUGAAACUCAAAGGAAUUGACGGGGGCCCGCACAAGCGGUGGAGCAUGUGGUUUAAUUCGAAGCUACGCGAAGAACCUUACCAGGUCUUGACAUCUUGCGCCAACCCUAGAGAUAGGGCGUUUCCUUCGGGAACGCAAUGACAGGUGGUGCAUGGUCGUCGUCAGCUCGUGUCGUGAGAUGUUGGGUUAAGUCCCGCAACGAGCGCAACCCUUGUUACUAGUUGCCAGCAUUAAGUUGGGCACUCUAGUGAGACUGCCGGUGACAAACCGGAGGAAGGUGGGGACGACGUCAGAUCAUCAUGCCCCUUAUGACCUGGGCUACACACGUGCUACAAUGGACGGUACAACGAGUCGCGAACUCGCGAGGGCAAGCAAAUCUCUUAAAACCGUUUUCAGUUCGGACUGCAGGCUGCAACUCGCCUGCACGAAGUCGGAAUCGCUAGUAAUCGCGGAUCAGCAUGCCGCGGUGAAUACGUUCCCGGGCCUUGUACACACCGCCCGUCACACCAUGAGAGUUUGUAACACCCAAAGUCGGUGGGGUAACCUUUUAGGAGCCAGCCGCCUAAGGUGGGACAGAUGAUUAGGGUG